rnacentral:lncRNA from 1 species
GGAACAGUGGGACAGCUGCCUCGGCAGCUGCUGGCUGCCCUUCCUUGGCUGCACUUCCUCUCUGUGUCUAGAGUCUCCCAUCUCUUUAGCACAGUGUCCCUCUAAACUCAUCAAAGAGAGCUCAGUGACUUGGAAGGAUGCCAGCUCUGCCAUUUAGUUGAGUGUGGCCUUGGUCCUGAUGGCUGCAGAAAGAACCUGGUGGGCGGAACUUCUGCGCAGCCUAGAUCAGGAGGCAGAGCGUACCUGCCAAGGAAGCAGCACGGAAGAUAGAAUGGGCUGCUCGACCUCUCCAACUCACAGCAUCUCUGGGUGGAGGCUUCCAAGGGCAGCAAACUGUGACCGGUAAAUACAGGAAAGAAACUAA